rnacentral:rRNA from 1 species
UCCAGACUCCUACGGGAGGCAGCAGUGGGGAAUAUUGCACAAUGGGGGGAACCCUGAUGCAGCGACGCCGCGUGGGUGAAGGAGUACUUCGGUACGUAAAGCCCUAUCAGCAGGAAAGAAAAUGACGGUACCUGACUAAGAAGCCCCGGCUAACUACGUGCCAGCAGCCGCGGUAAUACGUAGGGGGCAAGCGUUAUCCGGAUUUACUGGGUGUAAAGGGAGCGUAGACGGCGAAGCAAGUCUGAUGUGAAAGGCAGGGGCUCAACCCCUGGACUGCAUUGGAAACUGUUUUGCUGGAGUGCCGGAGAGGUAAGCGGAAUUCCUAGUGUAGCGGUGAAAUGCGUAGAUAUUAGGAGGAACACCAGUGGCGAAGGCGGCUUACUGGACGGUAACUGACGUUGAGGCUCGAAAGCGUGGGGAGCAAACAGGAUUAGAUACCCGAGUA